GAAUCUUUCCAGGAACUCAUUCUUGGGAAAAUGAGCUGCUCCCACAGCUGCUUGCCCUGGGGGCUCUGCCUUUGAAGAUUGUCCUCACGCUACAUGGAGCUUUCGUGGGGCUGUGCACACCCAGCGGACAGGCAGUCCUGACCCAGGUCGCUUGGAGGGCCGCUGUGGAGGGCAGGACACUGGGGCUCCCCCACCCCGAGAAAGCUGGCAGGAGCUUACCCCCAAGCUGUCAGGCACCUUCCUCACACCCCCACCAGGCGUGAAAAAGAGACAGAUGACACUCCCGAGCAGGAAGCCAGGCUGCCAAUGGCCGACAGCCAGGAGCCCCAGACUCCAGCCUUUUCCACACCAGCCAAGUGCCCAGCCCCAUGCCAGGGAUGGCGGCCAGCGCUCCUGAGACCAGGCCAGCCC